CGCCGGAAAGAGGCCGAGCUUCCGUGCGGUGACCUCACAUAGGGAGGGAGAGAGAAGAGAUCGUCUCGAUAUCACGAGAAACCAGUGGCUAGAAGCGAGCGCUCCAUCUGGUGGUGGGAGUGUUCUCUAUGUCACCGAGAUGCUCACAAAUGCGUGUUUUACAUUUCCUUGGUACUUCCUAUAUAUUUCAAAUUGCAUUCGGAACACUGGACGACACUGCAAGAGUUGCAAUUCAGAAAUAGUUUUAUUUUGAAGAUACGCUAAUGACUGUGUGUCCCUGUGAGGAGACCAAAUACAGGAAGUUUGCGUGGACAAGCAGGGCUCUGUGCAGUGAGGACAAGUAGGGCUCUGUGCAGUGAGGACAAGCAGAGCUCCGUACACUGAGGACAAGCAGGGCUCUGUGCACUGAGGACAAGCAGGGCUCCAUGCGCUGAGGACAAGCAGGGCUCCGUGCACUGAGGACAAGCAGGGCUCUGUACACUGUGGACAAGCAGGGCUCUGUACACUGAGGACAAGCAGAGCCCUGUUCACUGAGGACAAGCAUGGCUCUGUGCUCUGAGGACAAGCAGGGCUCUGUGUACACUGAGGACAAGCAGGGCUUUGUACACUGAGGACAAGCAGGGCUCUGAGCACUGAGGACAAGCAGAGCUCUGUACACCGAGGACAAGCAGGGCUCUGUGCACUGAGGACAAGCAGGGCUCCAUGCACUGAGGACAAGCAGGGCUCCGUGCACUGAGGACAAGCAGGGUUCUGUACACUGUGGACAAGCAGGGCUCUGUACACUGAGGACAAGCAGGGCUCUGCACACUGAGGACAAGCAGAGCCCUGUUCACUGAGGACAAGCAGGGCUCUGUGCUCUGAGGACAAGCAGGGCUCUGUGUACACUGAGGACAAGCAGGGCUUUGUACACUGAGGACAAGCAGGGCUCUGAGCACUGAGGACAAGCAGAGCUCUGUACACCGAGGACAAGCAGGGCUCUGUGAACUGAGGAUCAAAGGGAGUGAAGGUGAGGGGUCCAGCUCACAAAAAUAGGUAAAACUUAACUUUUACUUCACAUAGUUAAAAACAUGGAACAAAAAGAAAACAACAUAAACCCCAUGGGUAUACUAAAAUGAACGCCAACGCGUUUCGAACUUGCUAGGAGUUCUUAGUCAUGGCUGUGCACUGCCAUGAGGACAAGCAGGGCUCUGUGCAGUGUGGACAAGCAGGGCUCUGUACACUUAGGACAAGCAGGGAUCUGUACACUUAGGACAAGCAGGGCUCUGUACACUGAGGACAAGCAGGGCUCUGUACACUGAGGACAAGCAGG